rnacentral:rRNA from 1 species
UACAGAGGUCUCAAGCGUUGUUCGGAUUCAUUGGGCGUAAAGGGUGCGUAGGCGGCGCGGUAAGUCGGGUGUGAAAUCUUGGAGCUUAACUCCGAAACUGCAUUCGAUACUGCCGUGCUUGAGGACUGGAGAGGAGACUGGAAUUUACGGUGUAGCGGUGAAAUGCGUAGAUAUCGUAAGGAAGACCAGUGGCGAAGGCGGGUCUCUGGACAGUUCCUGACGCUGAGGCACGA